CUGAAAAAGAAAACUAGGGAAGAGAAAAGGAAGACCAUGUAAACAAAAUAUUUCUCAGUAAAGCCCUUUCUCUUUUAUACAAAAUACUAUAGACAAGCUUAUAAAGAAUAUACAGAAGGACAAGGAAAUAAAGGUCAGGAAAGUGAGUCUGGUAUAGAGAUGGAGAGGCAGAUUAGGACAAAAUUUGGGGCAGAUAGCUACUUGUUAAGAAGUUUAAAGUUUAUUUUCAUAGAUCCUGGAAAGUCACUAAAAUAUUUAUUAGCACAGAAAGGAAAAAGGGUGUACAUUUUAGGCAACCAUGAGAAGAAUGCGUUAUAAUGUAUUGAGAAAGUAUCUCUCCUCCAUUUCUCUGUGAGAUAUAAAACACCUAAAUGUGUAUGGGGGUCUAUGGGUAAUAUCACGUCACAGAGAAACACAACCAAUUGGAGAACUAGGAAGCCUCAGAUAAUAGCUAUAUUCUAGAAGCCGGGCGAUACCUCAUGCCUUUCUUGUCACCACUAUGGAUACCAAACUCUUCUACUAUCUGGUCAUUUGUGUCCUGAAGGAAGGCUUUGCAGAUGCUGGAAUUUUUCAGACCCCAAGAAGCCUGGUCAAAGAGAGGAAACAAAAGGUGGUUCUGAGAUGUGAUCCGAUGAAAGGACAUAAUUAUGUGUACUGGUAUCAAUGGCUCACAGGACAAAAAUUGAAAUUGUUGGAAUAUCGUGAUGAUAAACAAGUCAUCCAUAGUUCAGGAAUAUCCAAGCCCUUAUUUUUCACUGAGUGGCCCAGGGGCUUACCUUGUAGUCUGAACAUCGAACCUGUAGAAAUAGAGGAUUCAGCCCUUUAUUUCUGUGCCAGCAGCUUAACCACAGUGCUGCAAACUAACACCUGUCUAUGUACAAAUCUUCACCAGCUCAGGAAACAGAAAAAACAUAUCUAUAUGGAUGGGGACAAAUCAUUAAGAAAAAAUUGAGUUCCACAGCAACUUAUACUCCCCAGCCAUUGUCACAGAAGGCAUCAAAAACUAAUGAGACUUUAAUCCAAAAACCAAAGAGACUCCUACUGUAAUCAUCUCUAACAGAUACUGAAUGGUUCUUCCACCUGGAUGUUUGGCUUCUGCUUU